rnacentral:rRNA from 1 species
GAAGUUUGGACCGUGUCUCAGUUCCAAUGUGGCCGAUCACCCUCUCAGGUCGGCUACUGAUCGUUACCUUGGUGAGCCGUUACCUCACCAACCAGUUAAUCAGACGCAGGCCCAUCCCCAGCCGAUAAAUCUUUGGCUGAUCCAACAUGUGUUGGUUCAGCAUUAUGAGGUUUUAAUCAUCGUUUCCAAUGGCUAUCCCUCUGCUGAGGGCAGGUUGCCUACGCGUUACUCACCCGUCCGCCGCUUUCCAUCUUCCUGAUUCAUCCGAAGAAUCGUCUGAAAGAUUUCUCGCUCGACUUGCAUGUAUUAGGCACGCCGCCAGCGUUCAUC